UCCCAUCCAAUGCUAACUCCCACCUUUAUGAGGCAUGGGAGUUGCUAUUCCCUCUCAGGGCUGGUCGCUGGACAUCAUCUGGACAAGAGAAAGGGUAGGGUCUUUAUCGUGUGUGGAGUUACAUCCUGGGGCCGUGUUGUCCACAGUCCUGAUUUGUCAGGAGAUGGGGUGGUCGGGCCUCCACCUCCAAUAUAACUAUCAGAAUGUGGUAGAAUGACUCUCUGUGAGGCAUAGUGACAAUUUUGAUGACUCUUGUGCCACAAUGGAAAUUCCAUGAAAUAGAUUCACUGAGUGAAGAAUAGACUGUGAUGGAAAUUCACCGAUGCAAAUUCCUUCAUUUUACCCUCUCUAUCCUAUGGAAUCUUGCUUUUAUUGAUGGUCUUGCUUGGUGGAAAAGAAGAACCAAGAAGGUUACGUGGGUGUGAAACUGCCCACAGCACCUGAGUUGCUCUGGUUUUAAUAGGCUGGCGUCUCACAGUGAAUCUCCCAAACAAUAAUACAGUUGCUAUGGUCUGGGUAUGAAAAGAAGGUGCAAGAAAGGUCUUCAAAGGCCUACCUACUGGUAUGUGAUCCACACACAUUUUCUGUCUCUCCUCUUGUCCCCUGAUGGGAAUGUGUACCUUCAAGGAACUCUAGAGGAACCAGCCUUUGUAAAGGUUCCCGGAGUGAUGGCUAAAUGUGUUCACGGAGGCAAAGGGUGCAAGCCCUGAAUACUGCAGCUCACACUGGAACGUGGCUCAGAGCGUGGUGCCCCAUCUGCCCGGGACAAAGUGAUAGGUUGCCUUGGCUGUUGGCAUGAACCUUCUGGAGCCUAGGCCUGAAGUGACUAAUCUGAUGUUGCUUUUCAGAUGCCUAGGAGGCAAAGGAGAGGGUCUCAGAGCUCGAGCCACACCAUGUCCACUACCUGAGCCUGAGCUUGAGCACUUGAUUGCUUUAGGAGAAACACCUUUUAAAAAUUGUGGAAUCCCAGCUACUCAGGAGAGAUGGGAGACGGGAGAAUGGCAUGAACCCGGGAGGUGGAGCUUGCAGCAAGCAGAGAUUGCACCACUACACUCCUGGGCGACAGGGUGAAACUCCGUCUCAAAAAAAAAA
rnacentral:lncRNA from 1 species